ensembl:lncRNA
AAGGAAGGAAGGAAGAAAGAAAGAAAAGAAAGAAAGAGAAAAAAGCAAGCAGCAGCAUGUUUGGAAUUGAAAACAAAAUUAGGGGCGGCAGAAGAAAUUAAUGAAAGGAGAAAGGGCUUUAGAAUCACGCUCACAAAUCUGGCAUCUCCUAGACUGAGGCCCCAUAGCCUCGGGGGAAGGGGUGGGAAGAUGAAGGGGAUGGUGAGAAUCCAGCCAGGGUGGGCAUGCUCUCCCAGCCCUGUACAAGGCUCCAGCACAUAUGGGGCUCCUGGCAGGCGAACAGUUCCCAGCCCACUGUUAUAGGACGUACAUAUAUGCACUUUCCACCCAGAGCACCUGGGGGCGCCAGGAGUCACACUAUGGCUGGGAGGUCUAGUGCGCUGGAAAAAAGGGGUGGGGCAAGGCUCAAAGCAGACAGGAGAAAUGUCCCUGACAGCCUAAUGGAGAAAGCUUUACCUUCACUGUGCAGUCGAGAACUCCUGCAUCCACAGGUCCCAAAGCCAGCUCUUGACUGGGCUGAGAGCCAUUAAGACAAGUGCUAAAAUAUGGUGGCAAACUGGCCUGAGUGUAGAAUCCGCAGUUAGUAUCCUCAUGCUCUUGGUUUUUCAUGAGCUACACACAACUCAUCAUUCAGGCCUCAAAGGAAUAUUUUGUUCAUAUUUUUGUUAAAAAUGUAAUACAGGACUGGCGAGACAGUAAGGGCACCAACCUAACUAUAUUAGUUUGGUAUCUGGAGCCUACAUGAUGAAAGAGAGAUGGAACUCCCAAAAGUUGUUCUCUGCCCUCCAUAUGAGCACGCGCGCGCGCCCACACACACACACAUUAAUAUCUUUAAGAUAAAUAAUGUGGCCGGGUAUUGGUGGCACACGCCUUUAAUCCCAGCACUCGGGAGGCAGGAGGCAGGCAGAUCUCUGAGUUGGAGAACAGCCUGGUCUACAGAGCAAGUUCCAGGACAGGCUCCAAAGCUACAGAGAAACCCUGUCUCGACCAACCCCCCCCCCAUUAAAAAAGAAAAAAAAAGUAAAAAUGUGUUGCUGGAGAGAUGGCUCAGCCGUUAAGAGCUCUGUCUGCUCUUCCAGAGGUCCUAGGGUUCACUUCUCUGCAUCAGCAUGGCAGCUUACAGCUGUCUGUAACUCCAGCAGUAAGGGAUCUGACACCCUCAUACAGACAUACAUGCAGGCAAAACACAUGUGAAAUAAAAAUAAAUAAUUUUUUAAAAAGGGCACAUGCCUUUAAUCACAGCACUGGGAAGGCAGAGACAGGCAGAUCUUUGUGAGUUCCAGGUCAGUCUGGUUUACAAAGCGAGUUCCAGGACAGCCAGAGCUGUUACACAGAGAAACCCUGUCUCAAAACAAACAACAAAAAAAGAAAGAAAAAGAGAAAUAAUUCGAUACACUCCUGCAAAUCUGAUACACAAUUUUUUUGUUUUCUUUCUUUACAAAUAUAAGGCACUCUGGCCUCUAAGCACAUUUUCACCCAUGUGGUGCUCACACACUCAUGCAGAUACUCACACCCAUAAAUAAAAAUAAGUAAAUGUAAAGAAAUUCUUGUCACUCAUCCAUGGAAAUGAUCUCUGUAGACUAGGCUGGCCUCGAACUCACAGAGAUCCGCCUGCCUCUGCCUCACGAGUGCUGGGAUUAAAGGCGUGUGCCACGGCUUUAGAAUAUAUUUUAUGUGUAAAUGUUUUGCCCACAUAUAGGUUUGUCACAACUUGUGUGCCUGGUGCCCUUAGAAGUCAGAAGAGGGAGUUGGAUUCCCUGGAACUGGAGUUACAGACAGUUGUGACCUGCCAUGUGGGUCCUGGGAAUCAAACCUGGGUCCUCUAGAAGAACAGCCAGUCAUCUUAAGCUCUGAGCCUUCUCUUCAUCCCCUCACAGAUAUGGAUAUGUGUGCAGUAUGUGUGCAGAUACCAGAAGAGGCCUUGUUUCCCUUGGAGCCAUUUUUCCUAAGAUACUGGGAACAGUAUCUCUCUGUGUGUUCUACAUGUUCACCUGGUAUCCUCAGAAGUCAGAAGAGCCUGUUGGAGUCUUUGGGGCUAGAGCUGUUAGCUGCUAAGUGGGUGUU